rnacentral:rRNA from 1 species
ACCAGGAGCCACGUUGCCUUGAAGUUCCCGGUCUUAUCUGAUCUUGGAGGUUAACAGGGUCAGGCCUGGUCAUACUUGGUUAAGGGACCUCUGGGGGAUAUGGGGUGCUGUAGGCU